ACUCCUACGGGAGGCAGCAGUAGGGAAUCUUCCACAAUGGGCGCAAGCCUGAUGGAGCAACACCGCGUGAGUGAAGAAGGGUUUCGGCUCGUAAAGCUCUGUUGUUAAAGAAGAACACGUAUGAGAGUAACUGUUCAUACGUUGACGGUAUUUAACCAGAAAGUCACGGCUAACUACGUGCCAGCAGCCGCGGUAAUACGUAGGUGGCAAGCGUUAUCCGGAUUUAUUGGGCGUAAAGAGAGUGCAGGCGGUUUUCUAAGUCUGAUGUGAAAGCCUUCGGCUUAACCGGAGAAGUGCAUCGGAAACUGGAUAACUUGAGUGCAGAAGAGGGUAGUGGAACUCCAUGUGUAGCGGUGGAAUGCGUAGAUAUAUGGAAGAACACCAGUGGCGAAGGCGGCUACCUGGUCUGCAACUGACGCUGAGACUCGAAAGCAUGGGGUAGCGAACAGGAUUAGAUACCCUGGUAGGAAAG
rnacentral:rRNA from 1 species